rnacentral:rRNA from 1 species
UACGUAGGGUGCAAGCGUUGUCCGGAAUUAUUGGGCGUAAAGAGCUCGUAGGCGGCUUGUUGCGUCGACUGUGAAAACCCGCAGCUUAACUGCGGGCCUGCAGUUGAUACGGGCAGGCUAGAGUUCGGUAGGGGAGACUGGAAUUCUGGUGUAGCGGUGAAAUGCGCAGAUAUCAGGAGGAACACCGGUGGCGAAGGCGGGUCUCUGGGCCGAUACUGACGCUGAGGAGCGAAAGCGUGGGGAGCGAACAGG